UGCCAGCCGCCGCGGUAAUACGGAGGGGGCUAGCGUUGUUCGGAAUUACUGGGCGUAAAGCGCGCGUAGGCGGAUUGGAAAGUUAGAGGUGAAAUCCCAGGGCUCAACCCUGGAACUGCCUUUAAAACUCCCAGUCUUGAGUUCGAGAGAGGUGAGUGGAAUUCCGAGUGUAGAGGUGAAAUUCGUAGGUAUUGGGAAGAACACCAGUGGCGAAGGCGGCUAACUGGCUCGGUACUGACGCUGAGAUGCGAAAGCGUGGGGAGCAAACAGGAUUAGAUA
rnacentral:rRNA from 1 species